CCGGCCAACGCCAACGCAUUCCCCAAGAUGUUCACUCCGUCGCUCCUGCAGCAAUUCUACAUGCAAAACCCGAAAGUCAUCUCAAAUCUCUACCAGAAACUCAAGGCAGAUAAUCCUCUGAAACCGGAAAGUCAAAUCAACGGGAUGCUGCAGCAGUGCGUAAUGGGAUACUUGAACGCAGCCAUGGCUCAAAGUCAGCAUAGCAUGAAUCAAGGUAUGCCUUCGGCUCCACCGACUGCCGCACCUGCCGCAGCACCCAGCGGGCCAAUACCCAUGCCUCCACCGAGCGGACCUAUCCCCAUGCCGCCCCCGGGUGGAGCCAUCCCCAUGCCUGCCCCAGGCGGGGCGCCAAGCACAGCGAAAUAAGCGCAGACUCCAUGGCUGUACCCUUGUAAAUUCUCUCCUUUUCUUUCGUUUGUAGACUAUAUUGCAGCUUUCUUAUCGGUGCGCCUCCACUGUUCAUAAAUCAUCGCUUCCCCCCCCCCCUAGCUCUUUUAGUAACCGUCUGUAGGAAAUCAGUGUUUCUGCACAAAGAGAAAAAAGGAGGUGGUUACUACUUAUGAUUUGUUUACCAUGUGAUGUAGGUUGGCUCAACAAGGCGUCAGUUUUUCAGAAGAAUUCUAAGUUCAAAUUAUGAAAAACGAACCAUUUUUUGUUUAGGUGAAUUCUAAAUAUAAUUUCAAAAUUUUAAACAGAAUGACUUUUUUCCAUUAACUACACCAUUUUUAAGAAAAUCGAUGAUAAAAAGCGUCUGUGCCCAUCUACGUCAUAGAUUCAAUCUAAAAUGCCUAAAAUAAGACCACCUCCUUUGUUUUCUCUAUGGUGUUAGGGGGAAUUAGUCCUAGGACUUUAUUAUUAGUUUUCAUAUGUAUUGUAUUCAGGCAUGUCCUCGCAACAGAAUAGGCUGUGAACAGAAAGGUUAAUUGAUGGAAAGGCCAAAAAGGAAACAAAUUCUCAGAGACACAUUAUUUCAUGAUUGGUGAGCGGCCUCUCGCUUCAGCCAUGUUCUCUACUUCAGCCUGAUGUCACCUUUGCACUUGGCAACGCUUCUUCAAAUUAAACGUGAAGAUACAAGGAGAUUUUUUUGAUCGAUUGUUUAAUUGUUCUGAAGACAUGCCUGUUCAUAUCUUUCAUCUAUCAUAUUCACCAACACACCACAGAAUAAUAUUCUUUCAGCCAAGCUUUCCCCUUCGCUGUUUGUAAUUUUUGACAGUUAUCAAAUUUAACGCUCAAUUUUUUUUUUUUUUUUUUUUUUUUUUUAAAAACAAAAGUUUGAAAUAAGAUCUGAACUUUUUGGAAUCUUUUUCCUGUUCCUUCUAUAACUGUUAUUUACUUCAUCAAUAGUUGUAAACUUUUGCCAAAGCCUAAAAAAAGGUGUUUCGUGUGUAAAUUUCUCAAUAAGUGCAUUUGCAAUGUCUAGUUUUCACUCAAUCACCUCAUCCUUAGGAUCUCGCAUCCUCAUCGUCCCUUUAAAUAUCACAUUCUUGCUAAAGUGUAAAUUAACGUCUAGAAUUCGAUAACUUGCAUAAGAUGCAAAAUGACUGACAUUACAUGAUAUGCAUCUCUAUUGAAAAUGAACAACAAAGUAAUUGCUACUUUUGUUCUUAUUUUCAUAACUUUGCUCCAUAUUUUUAAACCACAUUCGUUCCUUUGACUCAAUAUAUAAAUCAUUCAUCGUAAAUUAUUUUAUCUUUUCAAUCCGGUAAGCUCACAGUAGCGCAGUCUUUAGCGCAAAUUUUCAAGGUGAGAGUUAAUUGCAGAUCUUACAAAUGCACCAGUUGAGACUUCUCAUUAAAUUAUUCACAUGAACUAAUUAGUUCUAUCCCUAAAAUGUUUGAUGCAGCAUUGAAAAUUUCUGUGUGUUGCAGUUUUUAACAUCACACAGUGUCCAUUCCGAUUUCUGUAAAGCAGCUGGCCCAUGCUAUAAAUGUGUCUUAUCAAUUUAGUAAAAUUAUAUUACCUGUGGUAGGGUGUACCUAUAUGGGUGUGCAAUAUGCAACAACAUAGUGUACCUAUAACACUCUUGCAUCCCUUUUUAGAAGUUUUUAGAGCAUAACACAAUGAUUUCUCUAGUUAGUAUUUUAAGGGUUGAUUUUCAUGGAAUUGUUAUAGCUUACUAAAUGUACAUAUUAUUUUUUGUUGUUCUAUUUAUUCUGUCCCAAUUCUAUAGGGAGUAGUAUAACUAUUUUAUGGAGUGAAUUUUAUUAAAUUUUGAUGAGUAUUUCUUCAUAGAAUUUGUUUAGUCUCUUAAGGGAUGAAACAGUUCGAAGUUCUGGGAACGAUAAAAAUUUUAAGAGAUAACAAUUUUUAGCGAUCACAAUUUAUAGGUAGACUCUGAACAAGUGAAAGCUAAUUUUCUUCUCUUCUCUUUUUCAACGUUUCAUCCUCUAAAAAUUAAUUCCACUUCACUCAGUUUCCAUAACAUCAUUUAAAUUUAAUUUAAUUUCGAUUUAAUUUGUUACUCAAUUACACGGAAAGUGGUGUGCAAUGAGUGGCUUCAACAACCCACAAGUUCCUUUUUUAUUAAUUUAGUCAAAAAAAUUUGAAGUUAUUUUGGUAAUUAUAAAUUAUUAUAGAUUCCUUCUUUGUACAUACGGCUUCAGUGUUGUGAUAAACACUUUUGUAUUAGGAUGUCAUAGUAUUAGGGCAGAAAAUGUUAAUUCUUUUUCGUGUAAACUUUUGGAGUCCCCUCAUGUGUUAAUAUAUUUUUAUUUGUAUUUAUAACCAAUCAUUGAUACAUUUUUUUUUAUUUUAUUAUUAUGAUAUUAUUUUUUUUUCAUUAAAUGGUACUUCCUGGUAUUCUGAAUAAAAUGUCUUCUAUAUUAGAUUGAGUUGCUUUAUAUUCUUCAUGAACCUUAGAUAACAUGUCAGCAUCAUCACCUUGACUCCUCAAAUUGUCAUUCUGACGCCUGAUUGUUGUUUGAAAGAGACAUAGUCAAUUUCAUCAGUUUAAGUGACAGACU
rnacentral:lncRNA from 1 species